UACGUAGGGUGCAAGCGUUGUCCGGAUUUAUUGGGCGUAAAGAGCUCGUAGGCGGUUUGUCGCGUCGGAUGUGAAAACCCAAUGGCUUAACCUUGGGCCUGCAUUCGAUACGGGCAAACUAGAGUGUGGUAGGGGAAACUGGAACUCCUGGUGUAGCGGUGGAAUGCGCAGAUAUCAGGAAGAACACCGAUGGCGAAGGCAGGUUUCUGGGCCAUAACUGACGCUGAGGAGCGAAAGCGUGGGGAGCAAACAGG
rnacentral:rRNA from 1 species